rnacentral:rRNA from 1 species
AUUGAACGCUGGCGGCAGGCCUAACACAUGCAAGUCGAGCGGAGCGGCGGACGGGUGAGUACUGCCUAGGAAUCUGCCUGGUAGCGGGGGAUAACGUCCGGAAAUGGGAGCUAAUACCGCAUACUUUCACUUGAGCCUAGGUCGGUCGAGCGAGGUGGUGGGGUAAAGGCCUACAAAGGCGACGAUCCGUAACUGGUCUGAGAGUAUGAUCAGUCACACUGGAACUGAGACACGGUCCAGAGUCCUACGGGAGGCAGCAGUGGGGAAGAUUGGACAAUGGGCGAAAGCCUGAUCCAGCCAUGCCGCGUGGGUGAAGAAGGUCUUCGGAUUGUAAAGCACUUUAAGUUGGGAGGCGUUACCAGCAGAAUAAGCACCGGCUAACUUCGUGCCAGCAGCCGCGGGAAUUC